UACGUAGGGUGCGAGCGUUAAUCGGAAUUACUGGGCGUAAAGCGUGCGCAGGCGGUUUGUUAAGUCAGAUGUGAAAGCCCCGGGCUUAACCUGGGAAUUGCGUUUGAUACUGGCAAGCUAGAGUCUGUCAGAGGGGGGUAGAAUUCCACGUGUAGCAGUGAAAUGCGUAGAGAUGUGGAGGAAUACCGAUGGCGAAGGCAGCCCCCUGGGAUAAGACUGACGCUCAGGCACGAAAGCGUGGGGAG
rnacentral:rRNA from 1 species